rnacentral:tmRNA from 1 species
GGGGACGAAAGGGUUCGACAGGGAAGCGUGAAUCUGAGGUGCAGGCCGAGGUGCCGCUACCUCGCUAAACUGGCGGCAGCCGAACAACCGGCGAACGUGAAUUCGCUCUCGCCGCGUAACUAACGCGGUGACGUUGCCCACAGGCCUCCCCCCGGCGGGCAGUGGAGCAGCGCCGACCAGUCGGGGUGCGGCGGUCUGACGCCGAUACCGGCCGCCUAAGACUUAUCGGCUGGUCCGGUGACGCCGGGCCGGUGACGGCCCACCGGACGAGAAUCAACCGCCGGACACGCCUGUAGUACCUCAGACGGGCCCUUCUCUGGACGGGGAGUUCGAUUCUCCCCCGUCUCCACCA